rnacentral:rRNA from 1 species
UUAACGAGCGCAACCCUCAUUGCAUGUUACUUUUUCAUGCGAGACUGCCCUGGUUAACAGGGAGAAGUGGGGAUGACGUCAGAUCAGCAUGGCCCUUACGCCUUGGGCUACACACGUGUUACAAUGGUCAGUACAAUGGGUCGCAAUACCGUAAGGUGGAGCUAAUCCGUGAAAACUGAUCUCAGUUCGGAUAGAGGGCUGAAACUCGCCCUCUUGAAGUUGGAAUCGCUAGUAACCGCAAAUCAGCACGUUGCGGUGAAUACGUUCCCGGGUCUU